rnacentral:snoRNA from 1 species
CCUGUUGGCGGCGACGACCUCAUCAGCUACAUCAUCGCCGGGUUGAACAACGAGUUCGAGCCCGUCAUCUCUUCCAUCGUUGGGCGCCCAGAACCAAUCACCAUCGGAGAGGCCUUCGCUCAGCUUCUCAGCUUCGAGC